UACGUAGGGGGCGAGCGUUGUCCGGAAUCAUUGGGCGUAAAGCGCGUGUAGGCGGCCCGGUAAGUCCGCUGUGAAAGUCCAGGGCUCAACCCUGGGAUGCCGGUGGAUACUGUCGGGCUCGAGUCCGGAAGAGGCGAGUGGAAUUCCUGGUGUAGCGGUGAAAUGCGCAGAUAUCAGGAGGAACACCUAUGGCGAAGGCAGCACUCUGGUACGUGACUGACGCUGAGACGCGAAAGCGUGGGGAGCAAACAGG
rnacentral:rRNA from 1 species